GCCCCAGUGGCCCAAUGGAUAAGGCAUCGGUUUCCUAAACCGGGGAUUGUGGGUUCGAGUCCCACCUGGGGUA
rnacentral:tRNA from 1 species